GGUUAACGGAGCGAAAGCGACGUUCAACCGCAAAACAAGCAGAGGGGGCUUAGUGGUGGGGUGACUGCGUACCUUUUGUAUAAUGGGUCAGCGACUUAUAUUCUGUAGCAAGGUUAACCGUAUAGGGGAGCCGGAGGGAAACCGAGUCUUAAUUGGGCGUUAAGUUGCAGGGUAUAGACCCGAAACCCGGUGAUCUAGCCAUGGGCAGGUUGAAGGUUGGGUAACACUAACUGGAGGACCGAACCGACUAAUGUUGAAAAAUUAGCGGAUGACCUGUGGCUGGGGGUGAAAGGCCAAUCAAACCGGGAGAUAGCUGGUUCUCCCCGAAAGCUAUUUAGGUAGCGCCUCGUGAAUUCAUCUCCGGGGGUAGAGCACUGUUUCGGCUAGGGGGCCAUCCCGGCUUACCAACCCGAUGCAAACUGCGAAUACCGGAGAAUGUUAUCACGGGAGACACACGGCGGGUGCUAACGUCCGUCGUGAAGAGGGAAACAACCCAGACCGCCAGCUAAGGUCCCAAAGUCAUGGUUAAGUGGGAAACGAUGUGGGAAGGCCCAGACAGCCAGGAUGUUGGCUUAGAAGCAGCCAUCAUUUAAAGAAAGCGUAAUAGCUCACUGGUCGAGUCGGCCUGCGCGGAAGAUGUAACGGGGCUAAACCAUGCACCGAAGCUGCGGCAGCGAACGUAUCACUUAAAGCGAUUCAGCGGGUUACGAUUGACGGAGCGAAGCGACGUCAAAGCGUAUACAAAGUCGAGUCGGUUUAAGGAUACGUUCGUUGGGUAGGGGAGCGUUCUGUA
rnacentral:rRNA from 1 species